ACUGAUUGCUUAUUGCACCACAUGUGUUUUUUAUUGAACAAAUUUCUUUGGUGGCGGGAGCAAUCCUACCGCCAGAGGUUAUAACUAAACCAAACUUUUUAUUUACAGUCAAACUUGAUUUAUUAUUACAAUAGUCAAAACUUUCAACAACGGAUCUCUUGGUUCUCGCAUCGAUGAAGAACGCAGCGAAAUGCGAUACGUAAUAUGAAUUGCAGAUAUUCGUGAAUCAUCGAAUCUUUGAACGCACAUUGCGCCCUUUGGUAUUCCAAAGGGCAUGCCUGUUUGAGCGUCAUUUCUCCCUCAAACCCCCGGGUUUGGUGUUGAGCAAUACGCUAGGUUUGUUUGAAAGAAUUUAACGGGAAAACUUAUUUUAAGCGACUUAGGUUUAUCCAAAACCCUUAUUUUGCUAGGGGCCCCCCCAAUUUAUUUCAAAACUUUAACCCCAAAUCAGGAAGGACUACCCCCUAAACUUAACCAUAUCAAAAGCGGGGAAAAAAAAAGG
rnacentral:misc_RNA from 1 species